rnacentral:rRNA from 1 species
ACGGCCGUACCAUGCUGAAUAUACCGGUUCUCGUUAGAUCACCGAAGUCAAGCAUCAUUGGGCGCGGUCAGUACUUGGCUGGGUGACCACCUGGGAACACCACGUGC